GAUGAACGCUGGCGGCGUGCCUAAUACAUGCAAGUAGAACGCUGAAGCUUGGUGCUUGCACCGAGCGGAUGAGUUGCGAACGGGUGAGUAACGCGUAGGUAACCUGCCUCUUAGCGGGGGAUAACUAUUGGAAACGAUAGCUAAUACCGCAUAAAAGUCGAUAUCGCAUGAUAUUGAUUUGAAAGGUGCAAUUGCAUCACUAAGAGAUGGACCUGCGUUGUAUUAGCUAGUUGGUGAGGUAACGGCUCACCAAGGCAACGAUACAUAGCCGACCUGAGAGGGUGAUCGGCCACACUGGGACUGAGACACGGCCCAGACUCCUACGGGAGGCAGCAGUAGGGAAUCUUCGGCAAUGGGGGCAACCCUGACCGAGCAACGCCGCGUGAGUGAAGAAGGUUUUCGGAUCGUAAAGCUCUGUUGUAAGAGAAGAACGAGUGUGAGAGUGGAAAGUUCACACUGUGACGGUAACUUACCAGAAAGGGACGGCUAACUACGU
rnacentral:rRNA from 1 species